GUCUGUGUUUGUAUGUGCCGGUGUGUGUAUCUUUGUGUCAGUGUGUAUGAAUUUGACACACAGAUACACAAACUAGCACAUAGUGGCACACAGAUACACACACCGUGACACACAGUGUGUG